UGCAGUCGAGGGGUAGCAAGAUUGUAGCAAUACAAUUGUUGACGACCGGCAAACGGGUGCGGAACACGUACACAACCUUCCUACAAGUGGGGAAUAGCCCAGAGAAAUUUGGAUUAAUACCCCGUAACGUAGCGGUGUGGCAUCACAUUGCUAUUAUAGCUUCGGCGCUUGUUGAUGGGUGUGCGGCUGAUUAGAUAGUUGGCGGGGUAACGGCCCACCAAGUCUACGAUCAGUAGCUGAUGUGAGAGCAUGAUCAGCCACACGGGCACUGAGACACGGGCCCGACUCCUACGGGAGGCAGCAGUAAGGAAUAUUGGACAAUGGACGCAAGUCUGAUCCAGCCAUGCCGCGUGAAGGAUUAAGGUCCUCUGGAUUGUAAACUUCUUUUAUAAGGGACGAAAAAAGGUCUUUCUAGAUCGUCUGACGGUACCUUAUGAAUAAGCACCGGCUAACUCCGUGCCAGCA
rnacentral:rRNA from 1 species